UGUCAACGAGUACCAGUGCCAAGUUCCAGCUGGCUGGUCGGCAACCCUCCACCGCGGCGGGGUGCCCUGGAUAAAAGACACGGCUCCAGUCCGCAACGGGCAUGGAGCAAGCGCGGGUU
rnacentral:ncRNA from 2 species